rnacentral:tRNA from 1 species
CGGGUGUAGUUCAAUGGUAGAACACCAGCCUUCCAAGCUGGUCGUGAGGGUUCGAUUCCCUUCACCC